rnacentral:rRNA from 1 species
UACGUAGGGUGCAAGCGUUGUCCGGAAUUAUUGGGCGUAAAGAGCUCGUAGGCGGUUCGUCGCGUCGGCUGUGAAAUCCCGAGGCUCAACCUCGGGUCUGCAGUCGAUACGGGCGGACUGGAGUUCGGCAGGGGAGACUGGAAUUCCUGGUGUAGCGGUGAAAUGCGCAGAUAUCAGGAGGAACACCGGUGGCGAAGGCGGCGUUCUGGACUGCAACUGACACUGAGGAACGAAAGCCAGGGGAGCAAACGGG